CAGGGCUGCAUCCAGCUCUGGGGUACCAGCACAGGAAGGUCAUGGAGUGAGUCUAGAGGUCAUCAUGACCAUUAGAGGGCUGGAGAGCUCUUCUGUAAAGAAAGCUGAGAGAAAUGGAAUUGUUUAGUCUGGACAACAGAUGUUGACCAGGUCACUUAAUGGUAGCCUUCCUGUACCUGAAAAGAGCCUUCAAGGAAGCCUGAAAGAAACUUUUUUACAAGGGCAUAUAGUGACAGGAAAGUGGAAGGAAGCAGGCUUACCCUGAAGGACAACUGUGAAUCUCAGCUCUCACGGGUUCUGAUGAUACACUCAUUCAGGCACAUUAUCUAAAAAAGGCAUUGCUGUGCAGCUAAAUACGAAGUUGGACCCCAGCAUCUCCAUUCUUCCUCUUCAUUCAGCAGCUUUCCAUAGGCAAAGCAGAGUUUCUUCUGCAUGCUACAGUUGGGAUGAAGUUGAAAUCCUGCCCUAGGAUUCAGAUAAGGAAAUGCAAAUUUUUGUACUGCUCAGCCUCUCCUCUUUCCUAAGGGUUCCUCAGUGCACAUAUUCGAGGGUAGUUUAACUCACUUUUAGUCUUUGGUUCCUGGGGACAAACUGGAUGUCUGUUAGUACAGGAAAGAUAAAAAUAACCUGAUGUUCUCUCUUGAGAGUUGAGCUGCACACCUACUCUCACUGAUGAAUAAGUAAAAUACAUAUAUCAUGGUGUGAGCCAGGCCUCCUACCAGGGUUUACCCAGUGAUAUGAAAGCCAUGAACUUUGAUUCCUACCACAGGUUUAGCAUGCUCUGAAUUGUACCCUCUCUUGUCCCUUUUUACAGAGUCAAAGCUCCAAGAGCAGGAAUAGCAGUGCCAUUUAGCACAAUUUAGCCAUGCUUAUCACAAUCCACAGGCUUUAUCAGAAAACUGAGGUUUGUAAGGUAGUUUUCUCAUGUUGAGGUUCACACAGAAUUCAGAUAUCUCAUGCCCUGAAUAGCUCAUUAAAGAGCUACCUCAUGAAAAAUAAUACUUUAUUAAAUACUAGCAUCAGUCUUAAAACAUCACAAUAUCAUAAAAUAUCACACUGAUAUAAACAUUUCAUAUAUAUAUUUCAUAUACAUGAGCAAAGACUAAUGUCACCUUGUGUCUUAGAUAAGAAAGAUAUGAGCUUCAGAGUUGGAAUAUAAAUACUAGCAUGCUACAUUUUUUUAUUAAAGUCUUCAAUCACAGGUUAGAUAACUAAAUCCACUUACAACUACGUGUAGAAUUUUCAUCUUUCACAGCAUUUCUAAGUUCAAAAUUAAUCACGUAGUGUUAAAGUGCAGUGGAUAUUAACAAAACCUAGAAAAUCAGGAAAGAUGAAAAUAUAAUGUUCAGAUUUCUAAAUUUAUGCCCCUCAACUGUUAAGACUAUCCUUCUUUCCUAAUACUCUUACAUAUGUGUUUGCAAGAACAUCUUAUUCAUGGAAGAGGCAUCAGUAUCAUUAUUGUGAUGCCAGUACUCAGGCCAGGGCCUCAUUAGUGAAUUCCUCAUUUCCCUAAUCUCCAUAGCAAUUAACUCUGCCUUCCAUAAGAUGUGCUGGAGCACCUCUUCAGGGUAUUUUUUCCUUCUGUUUCUCACAGAUGGGACUGUCCUGCAAAGGUGUCUUUCACUGAGGAAAUUCCAGAUGAGAACAAGAGCAAAGUGCUGUGCAGAUCAUAUCCAAUAGAUGCCAUAAGGCUGAACAUGCUGCUGCUUGCUAUCUGCAUAAAUAUACACUGGGCACAUGUAGCUUGCACAGAAAGAUGAGCUUGACACACCCUGGAUGUGCUGGCCUCACUGAGACUAUGCAGAUGAAGUGGGGCUCUCCCAUGACACCUAUCCAUCAUGCUGAUGUGAUUGUCAUGCCCCCACAGUGAACUCUAUGACACUGACCUUGUAAGGGAAAGCAAUUGCACAGGCCAUCUUUGUAUGUCUAGUAGCCAUUUGCCCAGAAUUCCUAAACUCACAUCGGGCAGUUUGACUGUUGCUUUCACUGAGAUGAAUCCAAAACUUCUGGAAAACAUCUUCCUUUUUUGAUGAGAAACAAUUUUUUUUGUCAUCUAAAACACCGCUAUUUACCAGUCUUAGUGUAUGUAGGGCAUUUAUACUGUUAAAAUAACAUCUCAUCAGUCUUUGAAAGCAGCUUUUCAUCUAUUUUUACUUUCACUGUUUUUACUCUGAUGAAAAUAAAUGGAGUAUAACAUCUGCCUUUUCUUUGUCUUGUUCUGCGUCUACCCAAAAGCAAAACCCAAGCUCUUGUAUUUUUCCAAUUCAGUAUGAGCUUUCACUCCUGCAACAUUUGAAUGUGGCUAAACUGAGAGUAUGUACUGUCUUACAUAAAACAAUGUGCAUGCUCAUAUACACACACAUACAUAAAGCUUUUGUACCAAGGUAGAAGCUGCUUGGUGAAAUGAAUAACAGAUCACAACAGAUCAAAAACAUAUGGCACACGUGCUUUAAUAAAGUGUGUAUUUUCAAGAAAUAAUGUGCUGAAGGUCACCCACAAUAAUUCCUUUUUUGAGUUCCUUGAGUUCUAUGAGUUUCAUGAGUUUCUUGUAUGCUUCGAAUAAAAUUCUGUUUCUUAGGACUGAAAAAUGUAAGUUUUUUUUCAUUAGCUGAAGCUCCUUUUGAAGUGAUGCUGUUCUUAAACCACUGUUUCAGGUAUCACUGUUGUCAAAAUAGGUAUGGUCAUUAUAAAGGACUGCAAUAAAACUUCAAGUAUUUAUUGCCAUCUGGAAGAAAUUUUGUGGUAACUGUACAUACAGCAUUCAAAUGAUCUUUAGGAGGUCCCUUUCCUUCCUAACAACACCCUAGGGUUCAUAAUCCAUGCUUUAUAAACUCACAACAGAUGUCAAAUAAUCUGAAGCAGCUGUAGGGAGCCAGCUAGAUAUUUGUGACCAGUCCUGGUCCUCUGCUUAAAAAAAAAAAAAUGUAUGUGAAGCUACCUAUGAACAGAUAGACAAAUUUACCAAUAUAUUUGCACAUUCACACAGACAUGUAAUAACACCAAGGUCACAGAUUCAAUCUCCUUAUGGGCCAUUCACAUAAGAGUUGGAUUUGACGAUCCUUGUGGAUCUCUUCCACAAGACUACCUUCCACUGUUCUGUGAAACUCUAUUAAGCUCUGUACAUAUGCAUUAUUAUUACAUAUAUAUUGCUUACAUGUAUGUAUAUAUUUAUUCUUGAUGAAAACAGAGUGAAGAAAGAACAGAAAAGGACUACUUUUUUCUCAUUUAAAUCUUGAAAAUUAAGAAAACUCUACAGAGAAAAUAUUCUUACAGUAAAAAUAACACAGAAGACACUGCAAGUCAUGUCUAUAUAAUCUCCAUCAUUCUAUAUCUUCUAGAUACACUGGGCAAAAAUCUUCAAGGAAAGACAAGCAUCUCACUGAUCUUCCUUGAGCUUGUACUAGAUUCUCCCUUGAAGAUGAAAUAGAACUUUAUCUUUAAAAUUAAUGGCAAAACUGUUAAAGGCAACUGCUCCACCAAGAAGAUAGAAGCCUCUGAAGUUAUUUUUAAUUAUUUUAGAGAGGUGAGCAAAAGAAAGCAGGAGGGAGCACUUCUGAGAAAAGUGACGAGAACCAACGAAAAAGAUAUUCCACAACAGAGAACAUCACACCGAGUAUAUAAACUUGGUGAAGUUACCUGGAAGGGGCUGAUCUGGGUCCAGGAAGGGAGGCCUGGCAGCAGUCAGUAAGUGGAAUCACUGCAAAUUCAGGAGUGGAAACCUCCCCGGACAGACGGCAAGACAAAACUACCUGAUCAGCACUUUUAGGACUAAACUGUCACGAUGGAAAGAUCUUGUAUCUUCAUCAAGCAAAAAAUAUGGAAACUUCCUUCAAAGACUGAUAAUGCAAACUUGGAACAAAUCCAAGUGUGGUUAAUUGUCUGUACUACAAUUUAAAGUAUGCAAUUCUGAAAUGGAGUUGUGGUGUCUGAAGCCUAUGCCAAGCUAACCUAUUGGCUUUCUUGUAUGCAGAAUCUUUGUCACGGAAAGAGUCAGUUGAUAUGAAACAAGAAAUCUCUGAAAAAUAUUUGCUAUUUUCCUAUUAUGUAUCUGAAUUUCCAUAAAAUUGUUAAAAAUAAACCUUUAUUUUUUCUUUAC